AAUCAACGCUGGCGGCGUGCCUCAGACAUGCAAGUCGAACGAUUAAAGCUCUCUUCGGAGAGUGUAUAGAGUGGCGCACGGGUGAGUAACACGUAAGUAAUCUACCCUCGAGUGGGGAAUAACAACCGGAAACGGUUGCUAAUACCGCAUAAUGCAGCGGCACCGCAAGGUGACAGUUGUUAAAGAUUUAUCGCAUGAGGAGGAGCUUGCGGCAGAUUAGCUAGUUGGUAGGGUAACGGCUUACCAAGGCUACGAUCUGUAACCGGUCUAAGAGGACGGUCGGUCACACUGACACUGAAUAACGGGUCAGACUCCUACGGGAGGCAGCAGUCGGGUAAUUUUGGGCAAUGGGCGAAAGCCUGACCCAGCAACGCCGCGUGAAGGAUGAAGUAUUUCGGUAUGUAAACUUCGAAAGAAUAGGAAGAAUUAAUGACGGUACUAUUUAUAAGGUCCGGCUAACUACGUGCCAGCAGCCGCGGUAAUGUAU
rnacentral:rRNA from 1 species